rnacentral:rRNA from 1 species
AGCAGCCGCGGUAAUUCCAGCUCCAAUAGCGUAUAUUAAAGUUGUUGCAGUUAAAAAGCUCGUAGUUGAAUUUUAGGCCUGGCCGGGCGGUCCGUCUUUGGCGAGUACUGUUCUGUGUCGGGUCUUACCUUCUGGUGAACCGGCAUGUUCUUUAUUGAGUGUACCGGGGAGCCAGGACCAUUACCUUGAAAAAAUUAGAGUGUUUAAAGCAGGCAUUUGCUUGAAUAGAUUAGCAUGGAAUAAUAGAAUAGGACGUUGGUUCUAUUUUGUUGGUCUAGGACCACCGUAAUGAUUAAUAGGGAUAGUUGGGGGCAUUAGUAUUCAAUUGUCAGAGGUGAAAUUCUUGGAUUUAUUGAAGACUAAACUAUUGCGAAAGCAUUUGCCAAGGAUGUUUUCAUUAAUCUAAGAACGAAAGUUAAGGGGAUCGAAGACGAUCAGAUACCGUCGUAGUCUUAACCAUAAACUAUGCCGACUAGGAAUCGGGCGACGUUAUUUUCAUGACUCGCUCGGCGCCUUAUGG